GAUGAACGCUGGCGGCGUGCCUAAUACAUGCAAGUCGAACGGGAGCCUCGAUUCGGUUGAGGUGAGAGUGGCGAACGGGUGAGUAACACAUAGCUGACCUGCCCUUCGAGAGGGGGACAACCGCUGGAAACGGUGGCUAAUACCCCAUACGCUUGCUCGGGUUAGAGGCCGGGUGAGGAAAGGCUUUGGUGCUGAGGGAGGGGGCUGUGGCCCAUCAGCUAGUUGGUAGGGUAACGGCCUACCAAGGCGAGGACGGGUAGGGGACCUGAGAGGGUGACCCCCCACACGGGCACUGAGAGACGGGCCCGACUCCUACGGGAGGCAGCAGUAAGGGAUAUUGCGCCAAUGGGCGAAAGCCUGAUGCAGCGACGCCGCGUGAGCGAAGAAGGCCUUCGGGUUGUAAAGCUCUGUCUGGAGGGACGAAGGAAGUGACGGUACCUCCGGAGGAAGCCACGGCUAACUACGUG
rnacentral:rRNA from 1 species